CAUAACCUGUUUAAUAGAGGAUUCUUUGCUGGGUUUUUAUGACUUAUUUCUAGGCUAAACCAAGCUCAAAUUUCUGCUUUUGAAUUAACCCUUACGUUUGGCUAUCUUUGGCAUUAUCUUAAACCAUUUAAAAAAAAAAUUAUUGGUACUCUUCUUUGUUUGUUUGUUUUCUUCUAGUUCAUGUAGUGGGGUUUGCACCGGGUCCC
rnacentral:misc_RNA from 1 species